ACCAGACUCCUACGGGAGGCAGCAGUGGGGAAUAUUGCACAAUGGGGGAAACCCUGAUGCAGCGACGCCGCGUGAGUGAAGAAGUAUUUCGGUAUGUAAAGCUCUAUCAGCAGGGAAGAAAAUGACGGUACCUGAUUAAGAAGCCCCGGCUAACUACGUGCCAGCAGCCGCGGUAAUACGUAGGGGGCAAGCGUUAUCCGGAUUUACUGGGUGUAAAGGGAGCGUAGGCGGCAGGGCAAGUCUGGAGUGAAAGCCCGGGGCCCAACCCCGGGACUGCUUUGGAAACUGCCAUGCUAGAGUGCUGGAGAGGUAAGCGGAAUCCCUAGUGUAGCGGUGAAAUGCGUAGAUAUUAGGAGGAACACCAGUGGCGAAGGCGGCUUACUGGACAGUAACUGACGUUGAGGCUCGAAAGCGUGGGGAGCAAACAGGAUUAGAUACCCGAGUA
rnacentral:rRNA from 1 species